rnacentral:rRNA from 1 species
CAAUAGCGUAUAUUAAAGUUGUUGCAGUUAGAACGCUCGUAGUCGGAUUUCGGGGCGGGCCGACCGGUCUGCCGAUGGGUACGCACUGGUCGGCGCGUCCUUCCUUCCGGAGACCGUGCCUACUCUUAACUGAGUGCGCUCGGGAGACGGAUCGUUUACUUUGAAAAAAUCAGAGUGUUUCAAGCAGGCAGCUCGCUCUUGCAUGGAUUAGCAUGGGAUAAUGAAAUAGGACUUUGGUGCUAUUUUGUUGGUUUCGAACACCGAAGUAAUGAUUAACAGGGACAGUCAGGGGCACUCGUAUUCCGCCGAGAGAGGUGAAAUUCUCAGACCAGCGGAAGACGAACCACUGCGAAAGCAUUUGCCAGGGAUGUUUUCACUGA